rnacentral:pre_miRNA from 1 species
UUUUGACUAUUUAUCUUAUUUGAAAUUUUUUUACGAUUAAUAUUUUUAUGCUUACUAGAUAAUAAAAUAUAAAUAGUACUUUAUACGUGACUAAUGUUUUAAAGUUUUUUAUAAUUUUUUCAAAUAAGACGAACAGUGGACACGGAAAAAC